rnacentral:lncRNA from 1 species
GGAAACUGGGAGAACUUCGGGGAGGGAAUGGGGGGGGACUGGGAGAACUGGGAUGGACUGGGAUGGACUGGGAAGACUGGGAUGGACUGGGAUGGACUGGGAGGACUGGGAAUACUGGGAUGGACUGGGAAGACUGGGAUGGACUGGGAGGACUGCGAGGACUGGGAGGACUGGGAUGGACCGGGAGUCGCGGCUCGUUGCACACGCGCCUGCAAUACCCGCCGUCACCGCGCGGCGGCGCUGUUGCGCUGCGCUUUGUGUAAAUGCCCCUUGGAGGGCAGUUAUAGCGUGGGGAUAUUAUGGGAUGUGGGGACGUUGGGGGCACUGGGGACACUGGGGGAUAUGGAGACAUUGGGGCCAUAAGGAUGUGGGGAUAUUAUGGGAUAUGGGGACGUUGGGGUGAACGGGAACGAUGGGGUUAAUGGGAUGCGGUGGGGAUUGGGAUUGGGGUGGGGUGGUUAUGGGUGGGGUGGUUAUGGGCGGGGGGGAUGCGGGCCGGGGGGACCGUAGGGUGGGGGUGGUGGUGGGGUGGAGGGGGCUAUGGGAUGGCUGUGGGGUGGGGUGGUCAUAGGGUGGGGUUGGCUGUGGGGUGAGGUGGCUGUGGGGUGGGGGUGGUUGUGGGGCAGCGAGGGCUAUGAGGGGGGUGGCUAUGAGAUGGGGGUGGGUAUUUGGUGGCUAUGGGGCGCUAUGGGGUAUCUAUGGGGCGGCUAUGGGGCACUAUGGGGCGUGCCGGGAUGGAGGCCAUUGCAGUGACGUGGGGGGGGGGAUGACAUCAGCCCCAGCAGCACCAGUGCAGCUGCAGCACCAACACCAACACAUGCGGGGCACAGAGCUGCGGGGCUGUGCUAUGGGGCUGUGCUAUGGGGCACAGAGCUAUGGGGCACAGAGCUGUGGGGCACAGAGCUGUGGGGCUGUGCUAUGGGGCUGUGCUAUGGGGCACAGAGCUAUGGGGCACAGAGCUAUGGGGCUUUGCUAUGGGGCGCAGAGCUAUGGGGCACAGAGCUGUGGGGUUGUGCUAUGGGGCUGUGCUAUGGGGCACAGAGCUAUGGGGCUGUGCUAUGGGGCACAGAGCUGUGGGGCACAGAGCUAUGGGGACACAUUGGUGACACACCGGGCUUUAAGGACCCACAGGUGUGAACUCACCAGGAUUCGGUGCCACACACAAGGAUUGCGUGCCCCCACCUGGACCCACACACUGCCCCACACGGGGCUUUGCACGAGGACUGGUGACACAGUGACUGGGCAUGAGGACAUGGGACUGCCCCCCCCCACCCCCCCGUGUGCUCACGAGGCCGCCCAUGUGCCAACGGUGCACAUGUGGGGACAGCAGCGAUUGUGCAACACCGGGCUUUGGGGAGGGGGGGGGCACAAACAAACACAAAUCGUGCGGUGGUGCCAACUGUUGUGCAACUGUUGUGUGACCGCCCCCAGUGCGGCCCCACAGGGCUCACAAACGGGGUCAGAAUGGGUCCGAAUAGGGUCAGAAAUGGGGUCUGACAACGGGACCAAAUGGGGCCACAAAAGCGGCCCCAAAUGGGGUCUGAAAGGGGGGCAGAAAUGGGGUCUGAAAGGGGGAACAAAUGGAUCAAAAAUGGGUCUGAAAUGGGGUCUGAAAUGGGGUCCCAAAUUUGUCUCAAAUGUGGCACUGAAUGUGGUCCCAAAAGUGGUUCCAAUGGGGCCCAAAUGAGGUCCAAAAUGGGUCCCAAAAGUGGCACCAAAUGUGGAGCCGAAUGGGAUCCCAAAUUGCUCCCAAAUUUGGUCCUAAGUGCGGCCUCAAAUACGGACCCCAAUGUGGACAUGAAGGAGAUCCUGAAUGCGGCCCAAAUCAAUGGGGAAAUGAUGAAUGGGGAAAUGAUGAAUGCGGAAAUGAUGAAUGGGGAAAUGAUUGAUGGGAAAUGACUGAUGGGAAAGGAUGAAUGGGGAAUGACGAAUGGGGAAUGAUUGAUGAGAAACGAUUGAUGAGAAAUAAUUGGUGAGAAAAGAUCAACGGGAAAUGAUGAAUGGGGAACGAUGAACGGGGAAUAUCAAGAGGACAUGGGGACACUGGGACACAGAGAUCUGUGCACAUGGGGACACUGGGGACACUGGGGGUCAAAGGGGUCAAUGGGGUCAAUGGGGACAUUGGGGACAAUGGAGUAAUGGGGGGUAAUGGGGGGCAAUGGGGACCCUGGGGACACUGGGGACACUGGGGACACUGGGGACAUUGGGGACACUGGGGACUUUGGGGACAUUGGGGACACUGGGGACACUGGGGACACCCCCAGCGCCGUUGGCCCCACAGCCGCAGCGCCGCCCCUCGACCUGUGGGGCAGAAGCGGCGCGGUGACAACGGGGCGCACCUUGGGGUGGGGCGGGGUGGGGGGGCGGGGCUGCGCGUUGUGCAACCCGUGUUGGGGGGGCACGUCGAGCCCCACCCCUCGCCCCCCCCCCGGCCCCAUAAAUACCCCCGGGGGGGCGGAGGGGCCGUAAUCGCCGCCCGCCAUGGAGGUGACGCUGCUGCUGUUCCUGGGGCUCUCCCUCAUCCUCCUCCUCGCGGUCCGCGGGCGGCGGGGGUCCGGGGGGGGCCGCCUCCCCCCAGGUCCGACCCCGCUGCCCCUCAUCGGGAACCUCCUGCAGAUCUCCCCAUCCCAAACCCUCAAAUCUUUCCUUAAGGUGGGUCCGGGGGGGAACGACCCCCCCCCAAAAAA